UACGUAGGGGGCAAGCGUUGUCCGGAAUCAUUGGGCGUAAAGCGCGCGUAGGCGGUUACUUAAGUUGGAUGUGAAAGCCCUCGGCUUAACCGAGGAAGUGCAUCCAAAACUGAGUAGCUAGAGUACGAAAGAGGGUCGCGGAAUUCCCGGUGUAGAGGUGAAAUUCGUAGAUAUCGGGAGGAACACCGGUGGCGAAGGCGGCGACCUGGGUCGAGACUGACGCUGAGGCGCGAAAGCGUGGGGAGCAAACAGG
rnacentral:rRNA from 1 species